rnacentral:rRNA from 1 species
CGAAGGGUGCAAGCGUUACUCGGAAUUACUGGGCGUAAAGCGUGCGUAGGUGGUGAGUUAAGUCUUGUCGUGAAAGCCCCGGGCUCAACCUGGGAAUGGCGAUGGAUACUGGCUCGCUAGAGUGCGGUAGAGGAGAGUGGAAUUCCCGGGUGUAGCAGUGAAAUGCGUAGAGAUCGGGAGGAACAUCAGUUGCGAAGGCGGCUCUCUGGACCCAGCACUGACACUGAGGCACGAAAGCGUGGGGAGCAAACAGGAUUAGAUACCCUGGUAGUCCACGCCCUAAACGAUGCGAACUGGACGUUGGGAGCAAUUAGGCUCUCAGUGUCGAAGCUAACGCGUUAAGUUCGCCGCCUGGGGAGUACGGUCGCAAGACUG